UUUUAAUUACCUUAAUAAAUGGGGAAAAUCUGACUAUUAUCUAUAUAAUUUUUGUUAUUUCUAGAUUACUUUGGCAACAAAAGGAAAAUAGGAUUAACAAUACUCAACUAAGGAUCGUUUUUCAUCAGCAAUGGUUUAUUGUUGUGUCCAGAUGUAAAUUAAAUUAUUCUAUAUAAUAUCCUUCCUUCCAACUUCUCUCUUAAAACAGUGACACACCCAUCAACAGUAUCAACCUUUAAGCAAAUUAUGGACGAUUUUUAAUGAUAGUUUAUAUGAAACAAAGUUAUAAAUUGAGAUAUAUUUAACGUAGGUAUCUGGUGAACUCGUUGAUAAUAUAAUAGUCAAUAUGCAUACCUAUACGAUUCAUAUACUUUUUUUUAUCAAUUCAAUGUUUUUCACUUAUAGAUGAAAAAUACGUCUUGCACAUAAAAUAUUAUAAUGAUAUGC